rnacentral:rRNA from 1 species
AACGAACGCUGGCGGCAUGCCUAACACAUGCAAGUCGAACGACACCAUCGGGACUAGUUGCGCACAGGUGCGUCACGCGGCGGAACCUGCCCUUAUGCUCCGAAUACCACCCCUUAAGGGGUGCUAAUACCGGAUAAUGUCUUCGGACAAAACAUUGAUCUUCCUUGGGUGGGCCCGCGUUGGUUUGACCUGUUGCUAGGGUAAAAGCCUACCAAGGCGACGCUCCAUAGCUGGUCUGAGAGGCUCGUCAGCCACACUGGGACGGAGACACGGUCCGGACUACUAGGGAAUGCAGGCGAGGCGAAUAUAGCACAAUGGGGGGAAGCAAGAUCCAGCAAUGCCGCGAGAGUGAUGAAGGUCUUAGGGAAGUAAAGCUCUUUAACCCGCGACGAUAAUGACAGUACCGAAAGAAUAAGCACCGGCUAACUCCGUG